GACAGAGGGGGCAAGCGUUGCUCGGAAUCACUGGGCGUAAAGGGCGCGUAGGCGGGAUGGCAAGUCAGUCGUGAAAUCUCUCGGCUCAACCGAGAAACGUCGGCUGAUACUGCCGUUCUUGAGGGAUGCAGAGGUGACUGGAAUUCCCGGUGUAGCGGUGAAAUGUGUAGAGAUCGGGAGGAACACCGGUGGCGAAGGCGGGUCUCUGGGCAUUUCCUGACGCUGAGGCGCGAAAGCGUGGGGAGCAAACGGG
rnacentral:rRNA from 1 species